ensembl:lncRNA
GAACAAUAUUAUGAUUCAGCUAGUGGGUCUGGCUACCUGACCUGGAGGAUAAAGACAGUGGGUCGCAACAAAUUAUGUAAGACCAAGAAGAAAACCUAUCAGAAUGGUUCAAAGACUCAACGACAUUCCUCAUCAGCUGUUGAGCCACUAUUGGAUGAACAGGUCAGUUCAGUGGGCUCCGAUUGCUCUGGUUCAGCUGUACAUCUGGAUGAAACAAGGUCAAGGAAACGGCGUCGGGCUGAUGAACCCACAGACAGGAAUGUUGCAAGAGAUAUGAUCAGCGCCAUCCUUCACUCAAAACCAGGUGGUGAAAUGGUAUUUCAGGAGUAUAUGAAAACCAAAGGUCUUACGGAAAGCACGCGGAGACUGAUGGUGAACAUUAUUGUGGCAGAUAUGAUGGAAAAUCACGGGUAUGUGAGUAACUGAACAUGUUAAAACUGUAUGAUGACCAACUGUAUGCACAUUGUAUCAGCCAGUCAGUGUGGUUUCACAUUAUCUACUAACUGUUGACCCCUGGUCACUCAGGACAAGUGUGUCUGCUACAUUUAUUAAAAUGUUAAUGUAAACUUGGGGUGGAAUCUGUCACUGGUGGUAUUUUUUGUAAAUGUUUUAUGUAAAUGUUGUACCAUCUUUGUAAAAGGAGGACGCCCCCAUCAAGUGUCCGCGCCAACUACGCCUUGGGGAUUGUGACAUUAUUUCCCUAUUUGAGGGAUCCACAUUCUGAGCAUGGAUAUGAAAAAUAUUAUGAUGCAGCUAGUGGGUCUGGCUACCUGACCUGGAGGAUAAAGACAGUGGGUCGCAACACAUCAUGUAAGACCAAGAAGAAAACCAAGUCCACUUAUCAAAAUGGCCCAAAGGUUCUGCGAAGUUCUGUUUUACCUGUUGGGCAACUGUCAGGUGAUGAAUGUGUAGAAGCAAUAUCCCAGCUGAAGCAUACAAAUGACAAGGCACUGGUGAAAGAGAAAAUGAAGAUGACGUUCCAAUAUAGACAGGCGAUGAUUCAUGAUCCGGAGAAGCCCUCAACUGUCCUUAAUGUCUUCCCAAGAUUCCUUGACACUCCAGGCUUGGUACGAUUUGUUAAUAUUGUGAAAUAAAAAAAAAUAUUAAGUCUAAAUCCACAGUCGGGAGAGAGUAUUCAACUCUGAUCUAUGGUGAAGAGCUGCAUGUGCACAGCUUCGCACGUAAUAUUUUUUUAUGUUUCAGAUCAAUCAAGAUUUCACCAUGCUUUUUGGAGAGGUUGUGUCUGGAACGUUCCUGGAAAAGUGGCCAACAUUCUUCAAACCCAGGGUGAUAGCAGAUUGCAAAACCCUUCCUUCCAGUGAACUGGUUGAACACCUCCUGUCAUCUGCACAACAGGAACCGAAUGAUUAUGGUAUAAGCUCAUACAUGUUGCCUUUGGUAAUGCAUAAUUCAUUUUUCUGUCUUGAAUAUACACUGUGUCGAACUAAUUAAAGCAACAUUUUAUUUGUAUCACACUAAAAUUAGGAUGGGAGAGUGACCUUGCAUCCAUUUUGUUGCUCCUGCAUCUUUUACCCCCCACCUCAAAAGGCCCAAAGACUGCAAAGAUCCGUACCUCUCAAGCUGCUGACCAUCUGGUUAGAUUUCUAAAGGUAACGUUCACAUUGUCAUCUGUGCCAUUCUUUUGCCUAGCAUUUGUUAAAGAUGUACGAAACUCCUGUUACCCCCUAGAACUUUCUUCUGUUUCACAUUGGGAUCAGCGCUCUAGCCAAGUUAUUGACAUCUCACAUUUCUUUCUGUGUUAAUAUUACCUAUGAGAGCGUGAGCAGCAGGGGGCGCCUUUUUAAUUUGGAAUAGUUCGUUUUCUUCAAAAAUAUUGAAAUGUUUUGUUGAAGUGUUUCCAAAUCCUGCUUGCGGAUUGCCCCAGGGGUCCCGUGGAGGGAGCUGCAAUUCGCCGCCACCAUCCGGUUUUGGGGGUUAUUGAUCACAUGGUUGCCUUGCCUCAUUGGGCUCUUAAGACACCUUGUGGCAACUUGGGGGUCUGUGAGCUCAGUCAAGGUAGAGGGCUUGAGUGUCUCUCUUCCGGAACAUAAAGAUUCCUGUCAAGACUUUGUAGUUAAGCAAGCAGUGUGAACCAGAAUGUUUCAGAUGUGCCUUGGAGGAUGCAUACUGUAUGUUUACAUUGACCGUCCCAACUUAGCAGGGAAUUGCUGCGAUAAAGCGGGCCGUUGGGUAUGCAUCCCGGCCUCAGAAAGCCAUCCUGCUUAGCCAUAGAGCUAACAAUGAAGUCUGGGUCCGCAAAAACAUGCAAGCCUGAUGGAUACAGCUAUGUUAUACAAGUUUAUUUAGAGUAAAGUUUUCUGGCGGGCAACUGUUCACACAACUUCUCAUGAUGUGGUAUGCACAGAUGCUUAAAUGAAAACCAGUAUGCACAGAGGCUCAAACUGAGUACAAAUUAGAAUGCAGUGGAGUGUCUUCCAACGCUAAUCCUUCAUAUACCUGCUUAGGAUUUUUUGGGAUUGUGGAAGAUGCUAUUUACUGUUGAAUUCUGUAUUGUCUGUUGGUCAGGCGGGGACAAACAUGGCAACCUUUCUAAAGGAUGUUGGAUGUGACCAGCAGCCCUUCCUCCUUUGCGUUGGUGAACGGAAGAACAUACUCCAGAAGUUCUACGUAGUUGUCGACCAGAAGGCCAUCCCAUGCCAGGCUGAAACAUCACUAGCAGCUUUUGAUGAGCUCUUUAAGGCACAUUAUGUCUUCAGUGUGACGUAUCAUGAAGCUUUGUGCAACUUCUACACAUUCAUCCAAACCACUAUUUACAGUAUCGAUGUGGGAAAGGCAAAAGAAUCCUCAAGAGUCAAGGAGAUUAGAGUUAGGCUGCUCAAUAAAAACACUUAAAGGACAUCCAACAAUGUUUUUAUUUAUACAUAAUAUCACUGUAGUUAUGUAUUGAGAAGUUUCAUGAUUUUAAAUAAAAAAUGAAUUUGGGCUGCAAUGGUUCUAAAAAUUAUUUUAAAAAAAUUAUUAAAUGAUAAGGUGUUUAACUGCUUUGAUUGCCAUCUUCCGGACCAUUUUACAAAACCUGUCCACCGUCCUUGAUAUACCUUAAAGAUCAUGCACAAUUCAAUGCAUUUGUAGUCACAUGUCUCUGGGGUAACCGUGUCUUAAAAUCAACAUGACAUGUUUCUGACAGACCUUGGUCAGACUUCUGGAUUUUACAACUUUUUUUAGAGAAAUUAACGUCUCCACAUUUAAUAAUUUCUUAUUUACAAUCUGAAAGCUGGUCAUUUUAAAGAGGCAGAUAGAUCGGUCCUUACGGUAUGCUCCCGAAGCAGCAACUUCAACUGUCCGGAAACAAACUGCUACCGACAACAUAAACGUUCCACAAUUCUCACACGUUUGUUUUUCAGGUUUAACAGAAGCUCGUGUUGCCUUCAUCAUGGACGUUUUGACAGCAGCAGCAUUUAAAGAAACCUCUCAAUUUAUAUGGGAGUUCAAAUGUUGCUCAUGUUAUGGGAAAAUUAGCAAAAUACGUAACUAUAAAUUACUUUCAAGUCGGUUGGCUAGCUUGGCACGGAAGCUUAUAAUCUAGACGUAUGUACUACAUGUUUUUAAAUUGUAAAUGGUACGGUAAGGCUUUGAGUGACAUAUGCAUAAUCUUCAUAAACAACUGCCUUGGAUACAAUGUUUAAAGGCUGGUUUCCCAAGUAUUCUACUUUAAGCGUAAACAUCUUGUCCUAUAAAAAUCUAUUCAAAAUAUAUUGUUUAAUGUUCUACAUAAUUCCAUUCUCAUGAAAAACAUGAAAAUGGUCUCGGGGUCCAGAGUUGAGGUUGAGUGGCUUUCUAUUCUGCUAAUGUCCAAACCAUAUCACAAUUUCCAUGAGUGCAAAAGAGAGGUGCAACCGUUAAUACUAGAACAUACAUCUGAACAGACUGUUUUAGAAUGUGUAACAAUCAUUUAGUUGAACGUUUUUCAGAUUUUAAUGUUUUUAUUCCAGUGACUUCUCUUCAGUCAACUUCAAAUUGAAUACGUCCAAAUACAUCAAAAUGUGCUUUUAUUACGUUUUAUUAUUUUGCCAAAGCAACAAAUACUGAUAGCAGCUGUUAAAUCCAAUGAGGCAGAUAAACGAGUCUUUACGGUAUGUCACUGGUGCAGCCUCAUCAUUUGUCCGAAACCAGACCACUAACCCGCCAAGACAACAGUAGCUAAUUUCAUUAUUUCAGUUAUUGUAAUCAUACGCGUAA